UCACCCCUUGAUUUCAACUUUGCAGCGCCGCUUCAUUUUGCUUCACGCGAGUUCGUGCCGCGCUGUCAAGCUCACUUCCGCCGUCGGCUUCGACGAUCUCUUUUCUUGUCUGGUUUCGACAAAGCAACACGCACCAGCGGACUGCUCAGGCUAAACCAUGGUAAACCACCGCAUUCCGUCGGUCUUCUCCAAGACCUACGUGACGCCCCGUCGUCCGUUCGAAAAGCCGCGCCUCGAUGCGGAGUUGAAGAUCAUCGGCCAGUACGGUCUGCGCAACAAGCGCGAGGUCUGGCGCGUCAAGUACACGCUGGCCAAGAUCCGGAAGGCGGCCCGUGAGCUGCUGACCCUCGAGGAGAAGGACGAGAAGCGUCUGUUCCAGGGUAACGCCCUGCUGCGUCGUCUGGUCCGCAUCGGAGUGCUGGACGAGUCCCGCAUGAAGCUCGAUUACGUGCUCGGCCUGAAGAUCGACGACUUCCUGGAGCGUCGCCUGCAGACCCAGGUGUUCAAGCUGGGACUGGCCAAGUCCUACCAUCACGCCCGCGUUCUGAUCCGCCAGCGUCACAUCCGUUCUCUAGAGAGAUUUUGCCAAGGCCUCGUGCCGAAGCAAAUGAUCGUGAGUGCCACUUAGGUGCCGGGUCAUUCCUGACCGGGUACUUAACGCCUCACACCGUGAUUGUGACCACUCUACCAAGAGUGUGCCCGUCCAAUCGCAAAGAACUUGAACGUUCUGCUCCAUCAAACUCUCUCUCGAGUAUGAGAACGGACUUGCGAGGAUAAGCUGCGUGUCCCCGUCCCAACGGAGGGAGCUUCGACGAAGAACUUGGAUCGUGGAUCGACGUUCGAAAGAGUGUCCGCAAGCAGGUCGUGAACAUUCCGUCGUUCAUCGUCCGUCUGGACUCGCAGAAGCACAUCGACUUCUCGCUCAAGUCGCCCUUCGGCGGUGGCCGUCCGGGACGCGUCAAGAGGAAGAA